rnacentral:rRNA from 1 species
AAAUUCGCGCGAUCGCCUUGAGUUGAUCAUGGCUCAGGACGAACGCUGGCGGCGUGCCUAACACAUGCAAGUCGAACGGGGCCGGGGGCAACCCCGGUUCAGUGGCGAACGGGUGCGUAACACGUGAGGAACCUGUCUUUCGGCGGGGGAUAGCCGGCCCAACGGCCGGGUAAUACCGCGUACGCUCUUCGGGGGGCAUCUCCUGGGGAGGAAAGCAGCAAUGCACCGAAAGAGGGCCUCGCGGCCUAUCAGCUAGUUGGUGAGGUCAUGGCUCACCAAGGCGACGACGGGUAGCUGGUCUGAGAGGAUGGCCAGCCACAUUGGGACUGAGACACGGCCCAGACUCCUACGGGAGGCAGCAGUGGGGAAUCUUGCGCAAUGGGCGAAAGCCUGACGCAGCGACGCCGCGUGUGGGAUGACGGCCUUCGGGUUGUAAACCACUGUCGGGAGGGACGAAGCUCUGACGGUACCUCCAAAGGAAGCACCGGCUAACUCUGUGCCAGCAGCCGCGGUAAUACAGAGGGUGCGAGCGUUGUCCGGAAUCACUGGGCGUAAAGGGCGCGUAGGCGGCCUGAUAAGUCGGGGGCGAAAUCCUGUGGCUCAACCACAGGGCUGCCUCCGAGACUGUCGGGCUCGAGCACAGUAGAGGCAGGUGGAAUUCCCGGUGUAGCGGUGGAAUGCGUAGAGAUCGGGAAGAACAUCGGUGGCGAAAGCGGCCUGCUGGGCUGUUGCUGACGCUGAGGCGCGACAGCGUGGGGAGCAACAGGAUUAGAUAC